rnacentral:rRNA from 1 species
GACGAACGCUGGCGGCGUGCUUAACACAUGCAAGUCGAACGGAAAGGCCCUGCUUGCCGGGUACUCGAGUGGCGAACGGGUGAGUAACACGUGGGUGAUCUGCCCUGCACUUCGGGAUAAGCCUGGGAAACUGGGUCUAAUACCGGAUAGGAGCCAUUUUUAGUGUGAUGGUUGGAAAGUUUUUUCGGUGUAGGAUGAGCUCGCGGCCUAUCAGCUUGUUGGUGGGGUAAUGGCCUACCAAGGCGGCGACGGGUAGCCGGCCUGAGAGGGUGGACGGCCACAUUGGGACUGAGAGACGGCCCAGACUCCUACGGGAGGCAGCAGUGGGGAAUAUUGCACAAUGGGCGCAAGCCUGAUGCAGCGACGCCGCGGGGGGGAGGACGGCCUUCGGGUUGUAAACUCCUUUCGCUAGGGACGAAGCUUUUUGUGACGGUACCUAGAUAAGAAGCACCGGCUAACUACGUG